rnacentral:misc_RNA from 1 species
CUGUGCUUCGGUGCAGCCAACCGCCGUGGGGCUGUCUUUUCACUGUUCCUCCCGAUGCGCUCUUUUGGGCAGGGGAGGGAUCGCUUGCUAUCGGUGGUCUGUGUGGUUCUACCCUUGUGCGGAACAAAAGUGGGCUUCCUAAUAGGCUUCUGCUUGCGCUGUUGGCACGUGUUGUCGUCGGCGCGGCUGAUUUGUUGGCAUAAUGCUUGUGCGGCUGCGGGCGCAUGAAUGGCUCCAGUACUGCACACGCGUUUUUGUCGGCUCUCACGGAUGCGGUGCGCAUUGAGGAAUCCAUGCGUCUUCGGUCGCUGGAUUACUUCGGGAUGUCCCUUGCACGGAUUGUCGCUCCGUUGCUUUGCUUCGGGGUGCGCUCCUGUGCCAGCGAGAUGCUCGCCCGGUUGAAAGAGCGAUUGUCGGAUCUCGUCGUGUGAAGGCGCUCCCGUUGAGGGCGUGCCGGAAGCGACUUGCCGGCUCUCGUCGAAGACGUGCUACCUGGUUGAUCCUGC